UUAAAGCCAAAGCCAUCGUGAGGUGGUGACGGAAAGCCACGGGUCUCAUUGAGACAGCCGGGCUGCCG
rnacentral:ncRNA from 1 species